rnacentral:rRNA from 1 species
UACGUAGGGUGCGAGCGUUAAUCGGAAUUACUGGGCGUAAAGCGUGCGCAGGCGGUUCGUUGUGUCCGAUGUGAAAGCCCCGGGCUUAACCUGGGAAUGGCAUUGGAAACUGGCGAGCUUGAGUGCGGCAGAGGGGAGUGGAAUUCCGCGUGUAGCAGUGAAAUGCGUAGAUAUGCGGAGGAACACCGAUGGCGAAGGCAAUCCCCUGGGCCUGCACUGACGCUCAUGCACGAAAGCGUGGGGAGCAAACAGG